UCUCUUUAGAUGAUGAAGGCAGCUUUAUCAAUUAAAAGAGCUCGGCUCCGGUCUUCGUCAAUAACGCUGUCGACAUUAUAGUUCCCUUUAGGAGCAUAGGCGCACCCCUUGCUCUCAUAAUAUUAAGAUCGGUGGGUCUCCAUCUUCUGUUCGAACUAUCGAUAAAAGUUUAAGCAGCGACCUCCAGUAGACGUAGCAGCACCGAUUGGCGACAUCAGCAGGGGAAAAUUCCGCGAUGCAAUCCAACGACAAUAGCCCAAUGUUCGUUCUCUCUUCUUUGCUCUACAAGUUUGGCGGCAGUGUGCUAUUGAGGAGGAGGCAGCGUUGGCGGUUGACAGUUGAGCUGUCCGAUGAGGAACUCCGUCAACGACAGAAAUCCGUCUAAUCCGAGUAGAAACCCACUCUCGGGCGGCAUCAAUGAUACCGCGCUCCGGUGGUUGUUCUACCCGACAGAUUCUCUGUUGCUUCCUCCUUGGGUGAUUUGGGAGUGUUUGAGUUCAACAUGGAGUCAGUUUGUGACUACUAAGCUGAUAAUCACGUCGCGCCAUACAAGGGGAAAACACGGUGAUCGUUGAAUUUGGAUAGAGUCCUAAAUUUCAUGGAUUGUUUAAAGCUUACUGGUUUGUAUUGGAAUGGGAUGUCAGAUGUGUAUCAAGGAAAUUGGAUUUACAUAUUGGGCCAGAACAUAAAUUCAUUUUCGAUCA